UCGCCGGUGAAGAAAUCUAUUAUCAAAUUACACCAUCUUUCGGGACUGAGUUUCCCGUGCUGAUAUUCUGCAAUUCUGAGGCUA